GCGAGACUAGGAUCGAGGCUAGGUCUUGUCUUGAAAGACAAGCAGCUGGAGGCGUUGAAGUGUCUGUAGUACGCUGGUGUUUAUGUGGGUACCGUACCGACCGGCUAUGGCAAGUCCCAGAGCAAGUCCAUCUGCUUUCCAGACACUCCCUUUCUUGAUUGAUGUGAAGCUUGACAGGACCAGUGCACCUCUCUCUGAAGGAAGUGUUGUGAUGGUGAUUUCUCCUCUUGUUUCUCUGAGUGAAGCCAUCUUCAAAGUGUUGGUGUGUCUGUUCGACGUUCAGUGCCAUUCUCUCUGGAAGGAAGUAUUGUUGUGAUAUUUGCCGAAAAUUGGUCACAGAGUAAGUACGUGGUAUCUGAUCCGAGAACUGUGUGGCCUGAAUGUGUUUACAAUCCGAGGGACUUGUGUGUAUCCGAUCCGAGGGACUUGUUGCUUGAGUGUGUAUUAAUGGAUAGUGCUUUCAAUGGUUUAACUAAUUUCUUAUGAGAUUAACUUGUCGCCUGAGUGUGUAUCCGAUCUGAGCCUCAAGUUAAUGAAUAAAUCUACAGAGCUGAUGUUUUACUUAGCUGUCUCUGUCUACAGUAUAUACAGAGAGGUAGCCUCUCCUUUUUCUUUUUUCUGUUCUUUAUCACAAUAAGAUAAAAUACUGUUUUAA